UGUGCUUAUAAUGUGUCUUUCCUGGCAAUCUGAUUAAAGAGUAUGGUAUUCAAAGUGUGUACAUGCAAAUAUAUUAGUGUUAUGGUACUGAUUGAUUGAUACUAGAAGGCCACAAAGAAUUAGUUGACUACAUUAGCAUGUAGCAUAUAAAAGAAUGUAAUCCCACUGCAGUUUAUCGUAGAAGCCACAGGAAGCAGAAUUGUUCCAUGCAAGUUCCAGGAAUUUCUUAGGGACUAGUCUUGGAAACUCAAAAGCCUUUUUCUCAAGGCCUAUCUGCCCUUCACACAAAUUCCUGAAUCUACUUACACUGCCCUCUAGGAUUUAUUUUCAAAGAUUUGCAACCUACUAGUAUCUCCUUCCCAGUCAGCUUUCCAGCCCUGAUUCUUCCUUCCCCCAGGAUGACAUUUUAAUCCCAUUCUCACAAAAACUGUGAUAUUGUUGACACUUUGUUCUGUGAUCAUUUGGAAUGUUUGCCACCAGAAUCUCAACCGCCAUUGGAGGCUUCAGCGUUGUAAAGUGCAGUACAGAUGCAGUAAAGUGCAGAUGGUCGUUCGUUCAGUCAAUAUUCAUCCAGUCACAUGGUUUAUGGUCUUCUUGCUCUUGAUUGUACUGAAUCAAUGAUUAUUCAAGCAUGAAGGGAACCAAGGAAAAUAGCACUGGAAGCUCUAGUGAGUGUCCAGACAACUUAUAGGUUCCUGCUUGUGUAACAUGACUCUUUACCUGCAACCACAUAUCCUCCCCAAAUCCACACACACACCCCCGGUGUUGGAAGAACCUCAGUACAGACUCAUGGGGUACUGGUGGGGGAAGAGUUCCAUUGCUCAAGUGUAUAUCCCUAGUUCUGCACUGGAUACAAGCCUCCAUAUUCACACACCAAGGACAUUUCUCUGAAUUAGUGAACUUCUCAGAUUUUGCCAUUUAAACUUUACUACCUUGUUCCCUCUAACAAAAACAAUUAACUGUUCUGGAAACCUAUCUACAAAGAAAAUGUAAUGUGACCAAUGUCAAGAGAAACGGGCAACCUAAUUAUGCAGAUUAUGCCUGCAUUCUGUCAAGAUGACCAGAAAUUGGUCCCCUUACUGGUUAAAGGUUUUAGUGCAUUUGUGGAUGAAUUCAAUAACCAAUUCAACCUGAAACUAGAACUUCAGAUAGCAAUAUUCAAGUUGUGCCUACACGUCUGUCAAUUGUUAAAAUAUGCAUACAUUACUUUGCAAUCACAGCUAAGGUUUUUAUAUAAUAACCUAAAAAGCCGUGUCAUUAGCUUCCUACUCACAGUAUUAAUUCAGUAUCAAAACUCACCAUUUUCAGAUGUCCAAUAUAGCAAGCAAUUUAAUUUUCAAAAAAUUUAGUCCCACUAAAUGUAUUCCACCUCACCUUACACCUAAAAGGAGAUUUAAGGUUCCAGCCUAUGUACCUAAUCACCAGUUAAGAGCUUUUUAUACUGGGUUUUGUUUUAAGCACACUGCUUGUAAUAAAUCACAUGGUUAUGAAGUUAACAUCGUUGUCUCCUCCACAUAUGUAAGAGUAAGGCAAGCCAAAAGGUAUGGAUAGGUUACCACUUCAGGAAUUCUUCUUUGGCAACAUUCUUUGGGUUAUAGUGUCAGGGCACACCUACAGCUAUAUAGCACAAAGGCUUGUCAUUACAAUUACUUUGCAUGUUCUACUAGCAAAGAUUACUGCUGUAGGCAGUCAAGUAACCAUUUUUCAGCCAGAGAGUAUCUCCUAGCUACUCAGUAGGAGCCCACAAUAGCAAUUUUAGCUUAUUACAACUUUAUGAUGCAUAUCCAAAGAAACCAACUGCUGCCACGUGCCUAGGGCAAGAGAAAGCAAACAUCACUUGAUGGUACAAUUUCUUCUAAAAGUAGAAUAAGCUGUUUGUAUACUAUUGCCAUUUUGUGAAGAACGAUGCACUUCUCUGUGGACUUAAAUUGCCUUGACAAUGAGAUGUUGACAGCUACAUUGAAGAGUACAUGUGCACCUCUCAUUAUACCCAAAACUCCCUUAAAUUUCAAUACCAAUUUGAGAAUGUGACUUCUUCCUCCUUUGUAUGCUUACACCAGUUGUUUUAGGCACUGGGAGUGGGAAUGCACAAUUCACAUCCAUCACAGGUACAGAUGAGCAUCACCAGACCCAGAUGCAAGCUUGCCAGGCAAAGGAAACAUUUGUACUGCACGAAGAAUAAAAAGGGGACCAGGAAGCCACCAGAGGUAAACAUUUUUUAACCAAUAAAUUUACCAGGAGGAUUUAAUGUGCAACUCUUUAGGGCUG
rnacentral:lncRNA from 1 species